UACGGGGGGGGCAAGCGUUGUUCGGAAUUACUGGGCGUAAAGGGCUCGUAGGCGGCCAACUAAGUCAGACGUGAAAUCCCCAGGCUCAACCUGGGAACUGCGUCUGAUACUGGAUGGCUUGAAUCCGGGAGAGGGAUGCAGAAUUCCAGGUGUAGCGGUGAAAUGCGUAGAUAUCUGGAGGAAUACCGGUGGCGAAGGCGGCAUCCUGGACCGGUAUUGACGCUGAGGCGCGAAAGCUAGGGGAGCAAACGGG
rnacentral:rRNA from 1 species